CUGUGCAGCCGGGGUGCUAGCGGUACCUUGUACCUGCAAUCCGCUAUAGCAGGGGUGAUAUUGCGCAGAGGGCACAGGUUUGUAGAGCUGCCCUUGAUAAGUGGCGAUGAGGCUUGGGUCUUACGCGACGGGAAUCUGUGAAUCGUGUCAGGUCGGGAACGAAGCAGCACUAAGCAGAACCUUCCGGGUGCCGUAAGGGUGCCUGG
rnacentral:SRP_RNA from 1 species